UAUGCAACGAUGCAAUAAUGCAACAAUGAGAAGUACAUCAGUUGAUUCUACUUCUAUCUCGCUAUCUUACUCAGAUUCAACUAACCUCUAAGACUUCUAUUACCUUAGAUCUGUAUCAUUUACUACUAGCCCCUUAAGGUUUCAUCUACCUUAUCCAAGCUAGCCACCCGACUCGACCUCGAGUCAAUCAACUGCGGCUAAACCGCGCUCUGUCCGGCUCAAGGUGAAGGAACCCUCGCAUACACCUUAGCCUUCAAUCCACAAUCACAUCGCCCAACGGGUCGCCCAGAGCUGCGUACACCCGUGGUCAAGGAUCUUUCCGCUGCGGGAGGGGGAACGUUGCCAACACGACCCGCGGCUAAAGACCCCCGAUAGGGAGGGGAACAUUGCCAACUGCCCCCUAGCGAUCCAUGAUUCUGCCAACGGGAGGGGAACCUUGCCAACUGCCCCCGUGGCCUUGAAUCCUCCACAAGCUCACUCUCGAAGUUCGUCCAAUGGGAGGGAAACCUUGCCAACUGCCCCCACUGUUUUAGAACUAUCGAGUUUACAAUCCUAA
rnacentral:lncRNA from 1 species